UAGGGAAUAUUGCACAAUGGGCGAAAGCCUGAUGCAGCAACGCCGCGUGCGCGAAGAAGGCCUUCGGGUUGUAAAGCGCUUUUCGGGGAGAAGAGGAAGGACGGUAUCCCCGGAAGAAGGCUCGGCUAACUACGUGCCAGCAGCCGCGGUAAAACGUAGGAGCCAAGCGUUAUCCGAAUUCACUGGGCGUAAAGCGCGUGCAGGCGGCCUGGUAAGUUGGCUGUGAAAUCUCCUGGCUCAACUGGGAGAGGCCGGUCAAUACUGUCAGGCUCGAGGGCGACAGAGGGAGGUGGAAUUCCGGGUGUAGUGGUGAAAUGCGUAGAUAUCCGGAGGAACACCAGAGGCGAAGGCGACCUCCUGGGUCGUACCUGACGCUCAGAUGCGAAAGCUAGGGGAGCAAACGGGAUUAGAAACCCCGGUAGUCCUAGCCGUAAACGAUGUAGACUGGGUGUCGGCGGGGUAAAAGCCGUCGGUGCCGAAGCCAACGCGAUAAGUCUACCGCCUGGGGACUACGGCCGACG
rnacentral:rRNA from 1 species